UAUCAGGGUUCGAUUUAGCCAUGCGAGGCGUGAGUCUUCUGGACUCGCCGAACUGCUCAGUAACACGUAGUUAACUUACUCUUAGGUAAGGGAUAAUCCCGAGAAAUUGGGGCUAAUACCUUAUAGUUGUUUAUAUCUGGAAUGAUUUAACAACCAAAGCUUCGGCGCCUAAGAAUAGGACUGCGGCCUAUCAGGUUGUAGUGAGUGUAAAAUACUCACUAGCCGAUAACGGGUAGGGGCCAUGAGAGUGGAAGCCUCGAGUUGCCUUCUGAGACAUGAAGGCAGGUCCUACGGGACGCAGCAGGCGCGAAAACUUUCCAAUUCGUUAGCGCGUGAGAAGGGGACCCUGAGUGGCUAUGUUCUACAUAGCCUUUUGCUUAGUCUAGAUCGCUAGGCGAAUAAGGGGUGGGCAAUACAGGUGCCAGCCGCCGCGGUAAUACCUGAGCCCCAAGUGGUGAUCACGAUUAUUGGGUCUAAAGCGUCCGUAGCCGGUUUAGCAAGUUCCUGGUGAAAUCUGGCAGCUAACUGUCAGGCAUGCUGGGAAUACUACUAGACUUGAGAUCGGGAGAGGACAGAGGUAUUCCAUGGGUAGGAGUUAAAUCCUUUAAUCCAUGGAGGACCGCCGGUGGCGAAGGCGUCUGUCUGGAACGAGUCUGACGGUGAGGGACGAAAGCGUGGGGAGCAAAACGGAUUAGAUACCCGUGUAGUCCACGCCGUAAACGAUGCCCGUUUGGUGUCACGAAUCUUACGGGGGUUUGUGGUGCCGGAGCGUAGGUGUUAAACGGGCCACCUGGGGAGUACGUUCGCAAGGAUGAAACUUAAGGGAAUUGGCGGGGGAGCACACAAGGGGUGGAGGCUGCGGUUCAAUUGGAUUC
rnacentral:rRNA from 1 species